GAAAGGGAGUUUGGGGGGAUGUUAAUCGGAGACUGCUGAUUAUGGGCAAGUUUGAUCUUCCCUGUCAGAAUAUCUAAUUUCUCCUUGUUUCUUCUUUGUACAUAACUCCUUCACAAGCCCUGACCAACAAUCCACCUCUGGGACUCUAGCAUUUAUAGACCUCUGAAAAGUCGCCAGAAUUCCAAAAGUCACACAAUCGCAGAAACUCUCUGCAGCUGGCCAAACCACACCUCUGCUAGGGCACAAGGCAAAUCAUAGUCAGCUGCUGUGGACAGUCCAUAUCCCACAGCUGGGACUGAAACGAAAACAUAUUCUUAUGUUUCUGUUUUUUUUUUAAAGAAACCAAAAUUUCCAAAUUGUCACUACACAAAAGCUUGGUAGUCUCCCCUCAAUGAGAACCCUAGAACUGUAUUCACAGCCUUGCCUCUGAACGUUGGCGGCCAGGCCCUCUUGCUGGCCGUGCUGCUGACCAUCCCUCUCUCCUCCCUCCUCCCCUAGAGGUGGCCUACAUCGCCACCCAGCACCCCCAGCACAAGCCAGCCGUACUCCUCUGCCUGGCAGCAGGCAAGGCUGUCCUUUGUGAGAAACCCAUGGGCGUGAAUGCAGCAGAAGUUCGGGAGAUGGUUGCCAAAGCCCGUUCUCAAGGCGUCUUCCUUAUGGAGGUAAGCCUGGAGAGGCCGCUCUCACAUCCAUACGGUGCUAAACAUGGUUGCCCAGGUUUGCCCACAGUCAACCCCCCCCACCACACACACACACAAAAGGAUCAGAAUCUGUGUUGGCCAGGGUGAAUCCAGCAUCUAGUCACAAACUCAAGUUCAUUUCUCCCCACUUGAAGGAAAAGUACUUAUUUAGAAAGCAAGAAAACCAAAGAAGACAGAGGCCAUUUUGCUUAGGGAUUGCUAGUGCAAGACUUACUUACCUAGGGAGUGGUGGGGAGGCGUGUGAGGCCGAGCAGCAGCUCAGGAGAGUCCCGUGGCAUCCAGGAGCUCAGCUUUCCAGAUGCACUCAUAGUUACUGCAGGUUACCGCUUGCUCUGUGGACCUAAGGAGCCCACAGAUAAGAACAGAGGCUCAGCCUCUGCAGCGUCUACUCCCAGGAAGAGCUAGACACAGGCACACAAAAAGCUUCCUUCUCCCGGAGAACAGGAGAUAUCAGGAGAUAAUGAAAGGCUACUUUCUCAGAACUCCACCCCCAAUACAGGGAGGUAACAUCCGAAGAAGGGAGUCUUUAACUCAUUCCAGGGCUCCAGUCAUCUACAGAAAAGCUAACGGGGGACUCAAAUUUUACCACCAAACUGUACGACCCUCAAAAUAGUGACUAAAAGGGCUAGAGAGAUGGCUCAGUGAUUAAGAGCACUGACUGCUCUUCCAGAGGUCCUGAGUUCAAAUCCCAGCAACCACAUGGUGGCUCACAAGCAUCUGUAAAGGAAUCCAGUGCUCUCUUCUGGUGUGCAUGAAGACAGCUACAGUGUACUCAUAAACAUUAUAUAUAUAUAUAUAUAUACACACACACACACAUAUAUAUACAUACACACACAUAUAUACACACACACACACACACACAUAUAUAUAUAUAUAUGAUUAAGAACCCAUUUAUAUUAGAGUUGUUCAUUUGAUUUAAUUUUCCAUGUGUAUAUUUGAUGACCACAGAGGCUAGAAGUUGGUGUCAGACCCGCCAGAACUGAAGGGAUUGGGAGUAUCAUGAGGCUGACUGGUAGGAGGCAAACCUGGGUCCUCUACAAGAACAAGCGCUCUUAAGCACAGAGAUGUUCUCUCCGGCCCCUAAAAUCAGCGACUGUUUCUACAGUCAACCAAGAAGAGAUCACAUGUUCAGCUCGAGUCCUCAGGAGGCAGAGGCAGGUGGUUGUCUCUGAAUCUGAGUCCAGCCUGGUCUACAUAGCUAGGGCUACACAGUGAGGCCUUGUC
rnacentral:lncRNA from 1 species